rnacentral:rRNA from 1 species
UCAGGAUGAACGCUGGCGGCGUGCCUAAUACAUGCAAGUCGAGCGGUAAGGCCUCUUCGGAGGUACACGAGCGGCGGACGGCUGAGUAACACGUAGGAACGUACCCCAAAGUGAGGGAUAACUGCUCGAAAGAGUAGCUAAUACCGCAUGUGCUCUAAGGAGUAAAGCUUCGGCGCUUUGGGAACGGCCUGCGCAUGAUUAGCUUGUUGGUGAGGUAAUGGCUCACCAAGGCGACGAUCAUUAGCUGGUCUGAGAGGAUGAUCAGCCAGACUGGGACUGAGACACGGCCCAGACUCCUACGGGAGGCAGCAGUAGGGAAUUUUCCACAAUGGGCGAAAGCCUGAUGGAGCAACGCCGCGUGCAGGAUGAAUGCCUUAGGGUUGUAAACUGCUUUUAUAUGUGACGAAUAUGACGGUAGCAUAUGAAUAAGGAUCGGCUAACUCCGUGCCAGCAGCCGCGGUCAUACGGAGGAUCCAAGCGUUAUCCGGAAUUACUGGGCGUAAAGAGUUGCGUAGGUGGCAUAGUAAGCGAGUAGUGAAAGCGUGUGGCUCAACCAUACUCACAUUAUUCGAACUGCUAAGCUAGAGGAUGAGAGAGGUUAUUGGAAUUCCCAGUGUAGGAGUGAAAUCCGCAGAUAUUGGGAGGAACACCGAUGGCGUAGGCAGAUAACUGGCUCAUUCCUGACACUAAGGCACGAAAGCGUGGGGAGCAAACGGGAUUAGAUACACCGGUA